rnacentral:lncRNA from 1 species
UCUUUAAGAAAAAAGUUAAAAACAUAAAUUUUAUAACUAAAUACUAAUUAAAUAAAAUUAUUAACUAUAUAAUUAAAAACCGCGUUAAAAAGUUUAACAUUUUCAAAAAAACACAUAUUGUUUUAAGAACAUUGAAAACCGUGUUAAAAAGUUUAACAUUUUCAAAAAAACACAUAUUGUUUUAAGAACAUUGAAAACCGUGUUAAAAAGUUUAAUAUUUAAAAAAAAAUUAUGAAUCAAUAAUAUUAAUAUAAAAUUUUAUCCAAAAAAUUUAACAAUAAAUGUAUAAACAAAAAGACAAACAAACCCUAAACCAAAUAAUCCUAAGCAUUAUUUUAAACCAAACCUAAAUCCAACCUAAACCAAACGCUAAACCUUUCCUACUAUCUAAACCCAAAAUCCUACCUAACCCUAAACCCUACCUAAACCUAGAACUUAACCCUAUCUAACCCUAAACCCUACAUAAACCUAACCCUAAUCCCUAAACCCUUCCUACUACCUAAACACUAAACCUAUCUAACCAUAAACCUACCUAACCCUAAACGUAAACCCUACCUAACCCUAAACCCUAUUUAACCUUAAACCCUAUCUAACCCUAAACCCUAUCUAACCCUAAAACCCUACCUAAAACCUAGGGUUUAGGGCUAGAAAGGGUUUAGUGUUAGAAAGGUUUUUGGUUAGGUAGGGUUUAGGUUAGGAAAGGUUAGUAGGGUUUGGUUAGGUAGGGUUUAGGGUUAGUAGGGUUUAGGGUUAAGUAGGGCUAAGGGUUAGGUAGGGUUUAGGAUUAGGGUUAGGUAGGGUUAAGGGUUACACUAAACCCUACUAACCUUAAACCCUAUUAACUCUAAACCCUUUCUAAUCCUAAACCCAACCUAACCCUAAACCCUACCUUACCCUAAACCCUACCUACCCUAAACCCUUUCUAACCCUAAACCCUACCUAACCCUAAACCCUGACGAACCCUAAACUCUACCUAACCCUAAACAUUUUCUAACCCUAAACCCUGCCUAACCCUAAACCCUACCUAACCCUAAACCCUUUCUAAUCCUAAACCCUUUCUAUCCCUAAAUCCUACUAACCUUAAACCCUGCUAAACCUAAACCCUGUCUAAUUCAAAACCCUACCUAACCCUAACCCUACAUAACCUUAAACCCUACUAACCUGCUAACCCUAAACCAUACCUAAUUCUAAACCCUACAUAACCCUAAACCCUACCUAACUCUAAAACCUUUCUAACCCUAAACCCUAACUAACCCUAAGCCUAAACCCUACUAACCCUAAACCCGACCUAACCCUACAUAACCCUAAACCCUACUAACCCUUCUUAACCUAAACCCUACCUAACCUAAAACCUUUCUAACCCUAAACCCUAAACCCUACCUAACCUUAAACCCUAAACCCUUUCUAACCCUAAACCCUUUCUAACCCUAAAUUCUACCUAACCCUAAACCCUACAUAAUCCUAAACCCUACCUAAUUUUAAACCCUACCUAACCCUAAACUCUACCUUACCCUAAACCCUUUCUAGCCCUAAAUCCUACUAACCCUAAACCCUUUCUAACCCUAAACCCUACCUAACCCUAAACCCUACCUAACCCUAACCCUACAUAACCCUAAACCCUACCUCCUAAACCCUACCUAACCCUAAAACAUUUCUAACCCUAAACCUUUUUUAACCCUAAACCCUACCUAACCCUAAACCCUACCUAACCCUAAAACAUUUCUAACCCUAAACCUUUUUUAACCCUAAACCCUACCUAACCCUAAACCCUACCUACACUAAACACUACCUAACCCUAAACCCUACCUAGCCCUAAACCCUACUAACCCAAAACCCUACCUAAUUCUAAACCCUACCUAACCCUAAAUCCUACAAACCCUAAACCCUACAUACCCUAAACCCUACCUAACCUUAAACCCUUCCUAACCCUAAACCCUAAAAACCCUACCUAACCCUAAACCCUACCUAACCCUUAACCCUGAUAACCCUAAACCCUGCCUAAACCUAACCCUAAAACCCUACCUAAACCUAACCCUAAAACCUUACCUAAACCUAUAACUCUACC